CCGCCGCCGCUCCACCCCACAAACCCUAAACCGAUCUCGAGGGGGGCGUAGCCAGUGACGGGAAGUCCACCGCCGCGCCACGCCUCGUCGUCGACACCAUCGCUGCCGCAACCGCGUCACUGCCUGCGACCGCUGCUGCAUCACCGCCAUUGGCACCAAGCACACCGUCGCCGCCGUCCACGUCGAGCCGCAACGACAGCGACGAUGUCCGGCGCCCUUUCCUCCACGAACACCUCAACCGGUGGCUACUCCUUGAUGGGUUACAUUAAAGAUAUUCUGACCCUGACAGGAGAUAACUACGGAGAAUAGAAAAGAGAACUCGACCUUGCUUUUAUCUUGGGAGAGGUGGACUGGGUGUUGACUACCCCAUGUCCUGUAGAACCUGCUAAACUUUUCAAAGGUGAAAAAGAGUUAGAUGCUGAAUGGCAAAAGAGAGAGAGGGACAAUGCUUCCCUCAUCAUGUCGUAUGACAUUGAGCAUGCGAAAUGGUCCUCAGCCAACAAGAACUGUUUGGCUGCGGUAAAGAACAUGAUUGAGCCAACCAUAUUGGGCUCAAUCCCAGAGUAUGACACCGUCUCUAAGUACCUCGAGAGUAUAAAGAGCCAGUUUACUGGUUCUUCAAAGUUUUAUGCGACACAGCUAAUAAAGCAGCUUGUGACAGAGAGGUACCAUGGUGAUGGUGUAAAAGACUACAUUCUUAGGAUGAGCAACAUGGCUUCCAAGUUGAAGCAAAAAGAUUUGGGCAUCUCAGAUGACUUUCUGGUCCAUCUGGUUAUAACCUCAUUGCCAAAGCAUUUUGACAACUUUGUUGUCAAUUACAAAAUAAGUCCAGAAAAAUGGAAUCUUGAAGAGCUCAUCUCUAAUUGUGUGCAAGAGGAGGAAAGAAUCAAAGAGAUCAAUGGUGGUUCAAGAGGAGGAAAGAAUCAAAGAGACCAAUGGUGACUCCAUUAACCUUGUUAAAGAUAUCAAGGAAAAGAGCCACAGGUCACCCUCCUCAAAAGCAAAACAGCCUCAGUAUCUGCCUCAACAACAACAGUUCACAGUUGAGACAGGAUUAGUGUCUCCACUGCAAGAAGACAAGACAUUCCAAGAAAGAUCAUCCUGACUUCCUGAUAGUGAUCAUGGCAAAAAAAGGGAUUCCGUUCAAUGAGGACUAUGCAAAGAAGCGAAAGAUCCAUUAGAGUUGCCAAUGGAGUUGAAGCAAAAGUUGAAGUUGCUGGAGAUCUUUGCCUAGAGCUCGCGAAUGGCUUCACACUUUUAUUUCGAGAUGUUUUUUAUGUCCCUUCUUUGCAAAGAAAUAAGUGUACCCAAAUUGGAUUUUGAUGGAUAUGAUUGCCAUUUUGGAAAUGGAAAAUGUGAACUAUGGUAUAAUAAUGCAUGUGUUGGUCUUGCUCUGUUGCAAAAUCAGCUUUACUUGUUA